GAUGAACGCUGGCGGAAUGCUUAACACAUGCAAGUCAACUGGAACUUCGGUAUGGUUGGCGGACGGGUGAGUAACGCGUAAGGAACUUGCCUCACAGGUAAGGACAACAUUUGGACACGGAUGCUAAUACCUGAUCUUAUGAUUAUAUGGCAUCGUAUAUGUAUGAAAGCUAUCUGCGCUGUGAGAGAGCUUUGCGUCCCAUUAUCGAGUUGGAGACGUAACGGCUCACCAAGGCGAUGAUGGCUAGCCGGCCUGGGAGGGUGAUCGGCCACAAGUGGACGGAGAAAGGGCCCUUACGCAUACGGGAGGCAGCAGUGGGGAAUAUUGGACAAUGGACCAAGAGUAUGAUCAAGCAAUUCUGUGUGUAAGAUGAAGUUUUUCGGAAUGUAAAGUUCUUUCAGUUGGGAAGAAAAAAAUGACGGUACCAACAGAAGAAGUGACGGCUAAAUACGUG
rnacentral:rRNA from 1 species